rnacentral:rRNA from 1 species
GACGAAGGUGGCGAGCGUUGUUCGGAAUCACUGGGCAUAAAGCGCACGUAGGCGGUGUCAUAAGUCGGGUGUGAAAUCCCUCGGCCUAACCGAGGAACUGCGCCCGAUACUGUGAUGCUUGAGGACCAGAGGGGUGCAUGGAAUUUCCGGUGGAGCGGUGAAAUGCGUUGAUAUCGGAAGGAACUCCGGCGGCGAAAGCGAUGCACUGGCUGGUUUCUGACGCUGAGGUGCGAAAGCCAGGGGGAGCAAACGGG